GUUUUUUUAAACUUGUUCGUUGUAUUACGAGAAAAUGUUUCAUUUUCACAUAUUGACAGUGAUUUCUGAUAAGCACAAUUAGCCUUUCUCUGGCCAAUUUUCACGCCAUUUGGGGGUACUGCCUCUCCCGUGUUUGAGAAUAUCCACAAAAUACAACUUUUUAGUGUUGUAGUUGUUUGUAUAAUGGUAAAUUUACAGUUACAACUUUUAAAAGUCUUUUUC